UGUCUAGAAUUUCUUUGCAAGUAGUCGAAUGCUAAGGGGAGUUAACCACACAAUUAUUACUUUGAUUCCUAAAAUAAAACAAGUGCAAACUAUGAAGGACCUUCUUCCAAUAAGGCUCUAUAAUGUGAUAUAUAAGAUGAUCUUGAAGGUCCUUACCUUUUCGUUAUAGCCCUUCAUGGAUCUCUUAAUCGAUUAGGAGCAAAGUGCUUCCACGAAGGGGAGACUCAUCAAAUAGCAUCCUUAUCAACCAUGAGCUGAUGCACUAUCUUAAAUUGA
rnacentral:misc_RNA from 1 species